rnacentral:SRP_RNA from 1 species
GCCGGGUAUGGUGGCUCAUGCCUGUAAUCCCAGCACGUUGGGAGGCCGAGGUGGGCGGAUCACCUGAGGUCAGGAGUUCAAGACCAGCCUGACCAACAUGGAGAAACCCCAUCUCUA